GAGAGUAUAGCUUGGUGGUAGAGCGAGUGCCUAGCAUGCGUGAGGUUCUGAGUUCAAUCCCCAGUACCUCCA
rnacentral:tRNA from 1 species